rnacentral:rRNA from 1 species
AGCCCUAAGUGGGUGGUAAACUCCAUCUAAGGCUAAAUAUGACCACGAGACCGAUAGCGAACAAGUACCGUGAGGGAAAGUUGAAAAGCACUUUGAAGAGAGAGUUCAAGAGUACGUGAAACCGUUUAGGGGUAAACCUGAGAAACCCGAAAGGUCGAAGGGAGAAAUUCAUUCGCGUUUCGCCGUAGGCGUGAGACGGUCGAGUGACGGGGGGCGUUCGCGCACUCCCGCGCCUUUCGUUUUUCGAUCCGGCGGCGAACGCGUGCACUUUUCUCCUGGUAGGACGUCGCGAUCCGUUGAGUGUCGGUCUACGACUCGCGGUGGAGACCGGGCGUAAGGCUUUCGGCUUUGCGUUCGGACCCGCGUGUUCCGGCCGACUCGCUCGACGGUAUGCGAAAGGUUAAAGGCCGCUCUCUAGGAGCGUUCGGCUCGCGGCAAGCGCGUCAGAUGCGUUGGCGAUCGGACCCGGUGCCGAUUCUGACCUCUGGCGACUGUUGGCCGUGAAGUUCUCGAACAGACCUUUGUGACCGAUCCGCGACGCUAUUGUUUUGGGUACUUUCAGGACCCGUCUUGAAACACGGAA